rnacentral:rRNA from 1 species
AGAGGUGCUUGCACCUUUCAAGCGAGUGGCGAACGGGUGAGUAACACGUGGAUAACCUGCCUCAAGGCUGGGGAUAACAUUUGGAAACAGAUGCUAAUACCGAAUAAAACUUAGUAUCGCAUGAUAUCAAGUUAAAAGGCGCUACGGCGUCACCUAGAGAUGGAUCCGCGGUGCAUUAGUUAGUUGGUGGGGUAAAGGCUUACCAAGACGAUGAUGCAUAGCCGAGUUGAGAGACUGAUCGGCCACAUUGGGACUGAGACACGGCCCAAACUCCUACGGGAGGCUGCAGUAGGGAAUCUUCCACAAUGGGCGCAAGCCUGAUGGAGCAACGCCGCGUGUGUGAUGAAGGCUUUCGGGUCGUAAAGCACUGUUGUAUGGGAAGAAAUGCUAAAAUAGGGAAUGAUUUUAGUUUGACGGUACCAUACCAGAAAGGGACGGCUAAAUACGUGCCAGCAGCCGCGGUAAUACGUAUGUCCCGAGCGUUAUCCGGAUUUAUUGGGCGUAAAGCGAGCGCAGACGGUUGAUUAAGUCUGAUGUGAAAGCCCGGAGCUCAACUCCGGAAUGGCAUUGGAAACUGGUUAACUUGAGUGUUGUAGAGGUAAGUGGAACUCCAUGUGUAGCGGUGGAAUGCGUAGAUAUAUGGAAGAACACCAGUGGCGAAGGCGGCUUACUGGACAACAACUGACGUUGAGGCUCGAAAGUGUGGGUAGCAAACAGGAUUAGAUACCCUGGUAGUCCACACCGUAAACGAUGAAUACUAGGUGUUAGGAGGUUUCCGCCUCUUAGUGCCGAAGCUAACGCAUUAAGUAUUCCGCCUGGGGAGUACGACCGCAAGGUUGAAACUCAAAGGAAUUGACGGGGACCCGCACAAGCGGUGGAGCAUGUGGUUUAAUUCGAAGCAACGCGAAGAACCUUACCAGGUCUUGACAUCCUUUGAAGCUUUUAGAGAUAGAAGUGUUCUCUUCGGAGACAAAGUGACAGGUGGUGCAUGGUCGUCGUCAGCUCGUGUCGUGAGAUGUUGGGUUAAGUCCCGCAACGAGCGCAACCCUUAUUGUUAGUUGCCAGCAUUCAGUUGGGCACUCUAGCGAGACUGCCGGUGACAAACCGGAGGAAGGCGGGGACGACGUCAGAUCAUCAUGCCCCUUAUGACCUGGGCUACACACGUGCUACAAUGGCGUAUACAACGAGUUGCCAACCUGCGAAGGUGAGCUAAUCUCUUAAAGUACGUCUCAGUUCGGACUGCAGUCUGCAACUCGACUGCACGAAGUCGGAAUCGCUAGUAAUCGCGGAUCAGCACGCCGCGGUGAAUACGUUCCCGGGUCUUGUACACACCGCCCGUCACACCAUGGGAGUUUGUAAU